rnacentral:tRNA from 1 species
CCCAUCCCCGACAUAUUUAUUACGGAAAUACUAUAAGCAUAGUCUGUCAGGGGCUUAUUCGCGUAUAAUUUA